rfam:Clostridium spiroforme DSM 1552 Scfld_02_5 genomic scaffold, whole genome shotgun sequence.
UCCAUCGUAAGGUGUGAACGGGAGGAAGUUGGAGGCAAAGUCCUGACCCAAGGAAUACGAACUAUUUUAGGCAGAAGCUUAUCGGAUGAGAUUGCUAAACAAAUCGAAGUCCAAUAGUACGACGGAAUAAGCAGUGUAAAGAUAGUGGGUACAUAGGAUGAAAGUGUUAUGUC